AAGCCUGACGGAGCAACGCCGCGUGAGUGAUGACGGCCUUCGGGUUGUAAAACUCUGUGAUCCGGGACGAAAAGGCAGAGUGCGAAGAACAAACUGCAUUGACGGUACCGGAAAAGCAAGCCACGGCUAACUACGUGCCAGCAGCCGCGGUAAUACGUAGGUGGCAAGCGUUGUCCGGAAUUAUUGGGCGUAAAGCGCGCGCAGGCGGCUUCCCAAGUCCCUCUUAAAAGUGCGGGGCUUAACCCCGUGAUGGGAAGGAAACUGGGAAGCUGGAGUAUCGGAGAGGAAAGUGGAAUUCCUAGUGUAGCGGUGAAAUGCGUAGAGAUUAGGAAGAACACCGGUGGCGAGGGCGACUUUCUGGACGAAAACUGACGCUGAGGCGCGAAAGCGUGGGGAGCAAACAGGAUUAGAUACCCUGGUAGUCCACGCCGUAAACGAUGGAUACUAGGUGUAGGAGGUAUCGACCCCUCCUGUGCCGGAGUUAACGCAAUAAGUAUCCCGCCUGGGGAAGUACGAUCGCAAGAUUAAACUCAAAGGAAUUGACGGGGGCCCGCACAAGCGGUGGAGUAUGUGGUUUAAUUCGACGCAACGCGAGAACCU
rnacentral:rRNA from 1 species